GGUCACGAGUACCAGCGUCAAGCCCCGGCUAGCUGGUCGGCAACCCUCCACCGCGGCGGGGUGCUCCGGGUGACGACCAGGCUGAGGUCCAUACCGGACCCGGCAAGCGCGGACU
rnacentral:ncRNA from 14 species